rnacentral:rRNA from 1 species
GCUUGCUGGGUGGAUCAGUGGCGAACGGGUGAGUAACACGUGAGCAACCUGCCCUCCACUUCGGGAUAAGCCUUGGAAACGGGGUCUAAUACCGGAUAUGAGCCUGCAUCGCAUGGUGUGGGUUGGAAAGUUUUUCGGUGGGGGAUGGGCUCGCGGCCUAUCAGCUUGUUGGUGGGGUGAUGGCCUACCAAGGCGUCGACGGGUAGCCGGCCUGAGAGGGCGACCGGCCACACUGGGACUGAGACACGGCCCAGACUCCUACGGGAGGCAGCAGUGGGGAAUAUUGCACAAUGGGCGAAAGCCUGAUGCAGCGACGCCACGUGAGGGAUGACGGCCUUCGGGUUGUAAACCUCUUUCAGCAGGGAAGAAGCGCAAGUGACGGUACCUGCAGAAGAAGCGCCGGCUAACUACGUGCCAGCAGCCGCGGUAAUACGUAGGGCGCAAGCGUUGUCCGGAAUUAUUGGGCGUAAAGAGCUCGUAGGCGGUCUGUCGCGUCUGGUGUGAAAUCCCGAGGCUCAACCUCGGGCUUGCAUCGGGUACGGGCAGACUAGAGUGCGGUAGGGGAGACUGGAAUUCCUGGUGUAGCGGUGGAAUGCGCAGAUAUCAGGAGGAACACCGAUGGCGAAGGCAGGUCUCUGGGCCGCAACUGACGCUGAGGAGCGAAAGCAUGGGGAGCGAACAGGAUUAGAUACCCUGGUAGUCCAUGCCGUAAACGUUGGGCACUAGGUGUGGGGCUCAUUCCACGAGUUCCGUGCCGCAGCUAACGCAUUAAGUGCCCCGCCUGGGGAGUACGGCCGCAAGGCUAAAACUCAAAGGAAUUGACGGGGGCCCGCACAAGCGGCGGAGCAUGCGGAUUAAUUCGAUGCAACGCGAAGAACCUUACCAAGGCUUGACAUGUACGA